rnacentral:rRNA from 1 species
CGCAGUGGCGAUAGAACGUUGCGCCGGUUCCCAACGGAUCACUGGCGCAACGGUGCGCGUGAUUAGUAUCCGAAUGGGGGACCAUCUUGGCAAUCGCGUGAUGCUGGCA